rnacentral:rRNA from 1 species
ACGUAGGUGGCAAGCGUCGUCCGGAAUUAUUGGGCGUAAAGCGCGCGCAGGCGGUUUCUUAAGUCUGAUGUGAAAUCUUGCGGCUCAACCGCAAGUGGCCAUUGGAAACUGGGAGACUUGAGUGCAGAAGAGGAGAGUGGAAUUCCACGUGUAGCGGUGAAAUGCGUAGAGAUGUGGAGGAACACCAGUGGCGAAGGCGACUCUCUGGUCUGUAACUGACGCUGAGGCGCGAAAGCGUGGGGAGCGAACAGGA